UGCCCAGCAACUCCUAUCCCUACCUCCUCACGGUACUGGCCGGGGUACGAGUAACCUUAGGGAAGAUCGGGUAACCAACCCCCGGUGGGAACUUUGGUCGUAUGCUGAUAGAGAAGG
rnacentral:ribozyme from 1 species